CGGGGUGCAGCAGGCGCGAAAACUUUACAAUGCUGGCAACAGCGAUAAGGGGACCUCGAGUGCCAGGAUACAAUCUUGGCUGUCGCGAUGCCUAAAAAGCAUCGCAUAGCAAGGGCCGGGCAAGACCGGUGCCAGCCGCCGCGGUAACACCGGCGGCUCGAGUGGUAACCGCUAUUAUUGGGUCUAAAGGGUCUGUAGCCGGCCGGAUAAGUCUUUUGGGAAAUCCAGCUGCUCAACAGUUGGGCUUUCAGAAGAUACUGUUCGGCUCGAGACCGGGAGAGGUGAGAGGUACUUCAGGGGUAGGGGUGAAAUCUUGUAAUCCUUGAAGGACCACCAGUGGCGAAGGCGUCUCACCAGAACGGAUCUGACGGCAAGGGACGAAAGCUAGGGGCACGAACCGGAUUAGAUACCCGGGUAGUCCUAGCCGUAAACGAUACUCGCUAGGUGUCAGCCACGGUGCGACCGUGGUUGGUGCCGUAGGGAAGCCGUGAAGCGAGCCACCUGGGAAGUACGGCCGCAAGGCUGAAACUUAAAGGAAUUGGCGGGGGAGCAC
rnacentral:rRNA from 1 species